UUUUUACCUAAGUACAUCAUUUAGACUUCAAACAUAACUUUUGAUACAACUAAUAUCAUUCAUAUUCAAUUCAACAGUAUGUAUGUUAUCAACUUCGUCAUUGGACGAUUAGAAGAAGGGGCUUACUAAUUGAACGAUAAGACAAGCCAUCAAGAUUAUUUCAUUCAGGAUACUAUAUCAGUUAUAUUAAACCUCGUUUUACUUUGGCCUUUAAACUUAUCGGAUUC
rnacentral:lncRNA from 1 species